rnacentral:rRNA from 1 species
CCUACGGGAGGCAGCAGUGAGGAAUAUUGGUCAAUGGGCGCAAGCCUGAACCAGCCAUGCCGCGUGAAGGAAGAAGGUUCUAUGGAUUGUAAACUUCUUUUAUUUAGGAAUAAACCUCCCGACGUGUCGGGAGCUGAAGGUACUAAAUGAAUAAGCACCGGCUAACUCCGUGCCAGCAGCCGCGGUAAUACGGAGGGUGCAAGCGUUAUCCGGAAUCAUUGGGUUUAAAGGGUCCGCAGGCGGAUUUAUAAGUCAGUGGUGAAAUCCUGCAGCUCAACUGCAGAACUGCCAUUGAUACUGUAAGUCUUGAAUUUGAUCGGAGUGGGCGGAAUGUGUAGUGUAGCGGUGAAAUGCAUAGAUAUUACACAGAACACCGAUAGCGAAGGCAGCUCACUAGGUUAUAAUUGACGCUCAUGGACGAAAGCGUGGGGAUCAAACAGGAUUAGAUACCCCAGUAGUC